rnacentral:rRNA from 1 species
ACCCGCUGAACUUAAGCAUAUCAAUAAGCGGAGGAAAAGAAACCAACAGGGAUUGCUCUAGUAACGGCGAGUGAAGCAGCAAUAGCUCAAAUUUGAAAUCUGGCGUCUUCGACGUCCGAGUUGUAAUUUGUAGAGGAUGCUUCUGAGUGGCCACCGACCUAAGUUCCUUGGAACAGGACGUCAUAGAGGGUGAGAAUCCCGUAUGCGGUCGGAAAGGCGCUCUAUACGUAGCUCCUUCGACGAGUCGAGUUGUUUGGGAAUGCAGCUCUAAAUGGGAGGUAAAUUUCUUCUAAAGCUAAAUAUUGGCCAGAGACCGAUAGCGCACAAGUAGAGUGAUCGAAAGAUGAAAAGCACUUUGGAAAGAGAGUUAAAAAGUACGUGAAAUUGUUAAAAGGGAAGGGAUUGCAACCAGACUUGCUCGCGGUGUUCCGCCGGUCUUCUGACCGGUCUACUCGCCGCGUUGCAGGCCAGCAUCGUCUGGUGCCGCUGGAUAAGACUUGAGGAAUGUAGCUCCCUCGGGAGUGUUAUAGCCUCUUGUGAUGCAGCGAGCGCCGGGCGAGGUCCGCGCUUCGGCUAGGAUGCUGGCGUAAUGGUCGUAAUCCGCCCGUCUUGAAACACGGACCAAGGAGUCUAACAUCUAUGCGAGUGUUCGGGUGUCAAACCCCUACGCGUAAUGAAAGUGAACGGAGGUGAGAACCGCAAGGUGCAUCAUCGACCGAUCCUGAUGUCUUCGGAUGGAUUUGAGUAAGAGCAUAGCUGUUGGGACCCGAAAGAUGGUGAACUAUGCCUGAAUAGGGUGAAGCCAGAGGAAACUCUGGUGGAGGCUCGCAGCGGUUCUGACGUGCAAAUCGAUCGUCAAAUUUGGGUAUAGGGGCGAAAGACUAAUCGAACCAUCUAGUAGCUGGUUCCUGCCGAAGUUUCCCU